UACGGAGGGUCCAAGCGUUAUCCGGAAUCAUUGGGCUUAAAGGGUCCGUAGGCGGGGUUACAAGUCAGUGGUGAAAGCCCAUCGCUCAACGAUGGAACGGCCAUUGAUACUGUAGAUCUUGAAUUAUUAGGAAGUAACUAGAAUAUGUAGUGUAGCGGUGAAAUGCUUAGAGAUUACAUGGAAUACCGAUUGCGAAGGCAGGUUACUGCUAAUGGAUUGACGCUGAUGGACGAAAGCGUGGGUAGCGAACAGG
rnacentral:rRNA from 1 species